GUACAAGCCCCAGUAUCUGGCCUUUUCUUCUACUAUAAUUGGUAGUUGGUUGCUAAAAGC
rnacentral:rRNA from 1 species